UAUUCUGCCCUACAGGGAAGGAUGAGAAGCUUCGACUAAGGUUCGACUCGAGCGAAGCGAGAGAACGUUGCCGCAGGC
rnacentral:sRNA from 1 species